UACGAAGGGGGCUAGCGUUGCUCGGAAUCACUGGGCGUAAAGCGCACGUAGGCGGAUUGUUAAGUCAGGGGUGAAAUCCUGGAGCUCAACUCCAGAACUGCCUUUGAUACUGGCGAUCUCGAGUCCGGGAGAGGUGAGUGGAACUGCGAGUGUAGAGGUGAAAUUCGUAGAUAUUCGCAAAGAACACCAGUGGCGAAGGCGGCUCACUGGCCCGGUACUGACGCUGAGGUGCGAAAGCGUGGGGAGCAAC
rnacentral:rRNA from 1 species